CGGCUGGCUGACGAGGCGGGUGUGCCACGGCGGCGGCGAGGGAAGCAGCAUCCACCGCGCCAGUUCGCGGAGCCUCGACCCUCCCUUCGAAACAAGGCCAAGCAGCAGUUCGGCCUCACACCCUCGACGGCCGGCUCAGCGGACACUCCGGCGACGGCGUGAGGGAAGGGCGUGAAGGCGGUCACCUUGACUCGAGUGAUUUCACCGACCCUUGAUGAAGAUCCUGAGGCAGUGCAAGAGGAGGUGGGCAGCUUGUGACACACUAAAAUGAUGCACCCCGGAGCUCUUGUGGAUGUACCUUGAGGCUCCAGCUGCCAAGGAAUGGAGUAAUGAAGGAAGUGGAAAUGAGAUGUUGGAGAGCAAUAUAGGGAGAGACAAGAAUGGCAAUGCAGGGAACAUCAGCGGUGGACAAGAACAUGAGCAAAAGGAACAUCUGAAGCUUGGUGUAUGCAUCCUGUGCAGGCCUCACAACAAACAGAAAAGACUGUUAAGAAACUGAAAGCAGAUGCAGCAGCCUUCAGCGGGACUCGUGUGCUGGCCAGUAUGGAGAGAUGCCUUGCAAGGGGCGGAGGGGAGAUCCUGCCUUCACCUGAACUUCAUGCCUGUCAGGAAGAAAAAUAUGAAUUUAACAAUUCGUCUAAGUCUUAAAACUCAAUAAGCUGUGUGGCUUGUGAUUGAAGGCAGUUCAGUUUUCUGCUUCCAAUACUAAAGGUUAAUAUGAAUAUAACUUUUACUAUGAAGUGCUCAACACCAAUCAUCUGUAACAAUGAAAUCCCAGUAAUGAAAAGGACUAAUCCAUAUUGAUGUAGUGACCUGCCUGAUGUUGAAAGUCCCCCACAACCCAAUUUUCUUUCAAUAGUGGCCAGCUGGUUAGUGGAGUGACUUCCCAUUUGGCUGGUCACGGGCUCAAUCCAGGUGAUAACAUUUGUUUCUCCCUUUACUGGCCUGGAAAAGUUGAAUUUUGUCUCGAAUUCCACUUCCCACAUCUUCCACAUGACCUCUAUAUGUCACAAAACACAGGAGAAACUAUUCCAGACCAAGAAAGGAGGAACAAAUGUUACCGUCACCGGGCAUCAAACCUGUAACCAGCCGGAUGGGAAGCCAGUCUGCCCAAAGAUUUGCCCCACUGAGUGAGUGGGUUUUGGGGGGCUUUCCUCAUCAAGAAUCUAUUAGCCGUAAUAAACCUCAAACUAAUAUACCCCUUGCCAACACAAGCUUACUUAUGAAGUGUCUGUGAUUUAACAUUCUUUGAUAUAUGAUGAACAGGACAUCACUUGAGGCAAAAGUUUCUUAUUGUGACAAUAAAUGAUUGGUCCUGCCAAUACAUUUUGUGAAUACAUGCUA